rnacentral:snRNA from 1 species
GUGCUCACUUUGGCAGCACAUAUACUAAAAUUGGAAUGAUACAGAGAAGAUAAACAUCACCCCUGCACAAGGAUGACAUGCAAAUUUGUGAAACAUUCCAUAUUUUU